AANCUUUCAACAACNGAUCUCUUGGUUCCNGCAUCGAUGAAGAACGCAGCAUGCGAUAAGUAAUGUGGACCGCAGUACUCAGCGACUCGAUCGAAUCUUUGAACGCAUAUUGCGCCCUUGGUAUCCCUAUGGCACACCUGACCGAGCGUCAUAGU
rnacentral:rRNA from 1 species